GCUCUUGUAACUCAGUGGUCAGAGUGUCUGUCUUAUAUGGGGCAUUCCUCCGUAUGCACGCAGAAGGUCGUGAGUUCAACCCUCACCUGGAGCA